GUGGGGAAUUUUGGACAAUGGGCGCAAGCCUGAUCCAGCAAUGCCGCGUGCAGGAAGAAGGCCUUCGGGUUGUAAACUGCUUUUGUACGGAACGAAACGGUCCGGGUUAAUACCCUGGGCUAAUGACGGUACCGUAAGAAUAAGCACCGGCUAACUACGUGCCAGCAGCCGCGGUAAUACGUAGGGUGCAAGCGUUAAUCGGAAUUACUGGGCGUAAAGCGUGCGCAGGCGGUUUUGUAAGACAGGCGUGAAAGCCCCGGGCUCAACCUGGGAAUUGCGCUUGGGACUGCAAGGCUGGAGUGCGGCAGAGGGGGAUGGAAUUCCGCGUGUAGCAGUGAAAUGCGUAGAUAUGCGGAGGAACACCGAUGGCGAAGGCAAUCCCCUGGGCCUGCACUGACGCUCAUGCACGAAAGCGUGGGGAGCAAACAGGAUUAGAAACCCCUGUAGUCC
rnacentral:rRNA from 1 species